GACGAACCGUGCGAACGUUGUUCGGAAUUACUGGGCGUAAAGGGAGCGUAGGCGGACUGUUAAGUUAGAGGUGAAAGCCCAGGGCUCAACCUUGGAAUUGCCUUUGAUACUGGCAGUCUUGAGUACGGAAGAGGUAUGUGGAACUCCGAGUGUAGAGGUGAAAUUCGUAGAUAUUCGGAAGAACACCAGUGGCGAAGGCGACAUACUGGUCCGUUACUGACGCUGAGGCUCGAAAGCGUGGGGAGCAAACAGG
rnacentral:rRNA from 1 species